UUAACUCUGGAACUGCCAUCAAAACUUUUUAGCUAGAGUAUGAUAGAGGAAAGCAGAAUUUCUAGUGUAGAGGUGAAAUUCGUAGAUAUUAGAAAGAAUACCAAUUGCGAAGGCAGCUUUCUGGAUCAUUACUGACGCUGAGGAACGAAAGCAUGGGUAGCGAAGAGGAUUAGAUACCCUCGUAGUCCAUGCCGUAAACGAUGUGUGUUAGACGUUGGAAAUUUAUUUUCAGUGUCGCAGCGAAAGCGUUAAACACACCGCCUGGGGAGUACGACCGCAAGGUUAAAACUCAAAUGAAUUGACGGGGACCCGCACAAGUAGUGGAGCAUGUGGUUUAAUUCGAAGAUACGCGCAGAACCUUACCAACACUUGACAUGUUCGUCGCGACUCUAAGAGAUUAGAGUUUUCGGUUCGGCCGGACGAAACACAGGUGCUGCAUGGCUGUCGUCAGCUCGUGUCGUGAGAUGUUGGGUUAAGUCCCGCAACGAGCGCAACCCUCACUUUUAGUUGCCAUCAUUUAGUUGGGCACUCUGAAAGAACUGCCAGUGAUAAGCUGGAGGAAGGUGGGGAUGACGUCAAGUCCUCAUGGCCCUUACGUGUUGGGCUACACACGUGCUACAAUGGCAUUUACAAUAGGAAGCAAGAUGGCGACAUCAAGCAAAUCCUAAAAAGAUGCCUCAGUUCGGAUUGUACUCUGCAACUCGAGUACAUGAAGCUGGAAUUACUAGUAAUCGCGGAUCAGCGCGCCGCGGUGAAUACGUUCCCGGGUCUUGUACACACCGCCCGUCACACCGUGGGAGUUGGUUCUACCUUAAGGCAAGGUUUUAAACCCUUGACUACGGUAUAGUCAGCGACUGGGGUGAAGUCGUAACAAGGUAGCCGUA
rnacentral:rRNA from 1 species